rnacentral:rRNA from 1 species
UUAAAUUGAAGAGUUUGAUCAUGGCUCAGAUUGAACGCUGGCGGCAGGCCUAACACAUGCAAGUCGAACGGUAACAGGAAACAGCUUGCUGUUUCGCUGACGAGUGGCGGACGGGUGAGUAAUGUCUGGGAAACUGCCUGAUGGAGGGGGAUAACUACUGGAAACGGUAGCUAAUACCGCAUAACGUCGCAAGACCAAAGAGGGGGACC